ACAAGGUGGGGAUUACCAUGUCAACGGGUAUAUUUGACAGUGGUUAACUUCUUUGCUUCAUUUCUUCAUGUAAGUUUGUUCGGAAGCGGGUGAUUAUCUUAACGAGUGCGGUAAAGAUGACAAAGUUUAUUAUUUCUAUUGGUUUGAUGGGGUUGAUGAUAUUACAGAUCCAGGCUCAACUGAACACGAAUUGGCAACAAAGAUUCUUAAACCGGAACCGGCUAAACGUUAACAGGGGCCUCCGUCAGAGCCCUCCAGACCUUCCUUCAGCUACUCUUUGUCCAGUCGGAUAUGAGGGUUAUACUGCCUUCCCGGGAAACUGUACCCGUUUUAUCCAAUGUGGUAUACCAGGACUCAAUAGAGCUGAAUUCACCUGUUCUCCAGGAACAUCGUACAGCGUUGACUUGAAGCAAUGUAUUAGGAGCGAACUGGUCAAUUGUGUGAACGGGGUUCGUCCGACAGGAACGGGCAUUUCAGGACGAACUGGUUUGGUAAACAACCAGUGGAACACCAACAGGAACACCAAUCGCUGGAACACUAAUACGAACACCAAUCUGAACAACAGAUGGACUGCUACCAAUAACAGACUGAAUACAAAUAGUAACAGAUUGAACACGGGCCUUAAUACAAACAGUAACAGAUGGACCACGGGCCUUAAUACAAAUAGUAACAGACUGAACACGGGCCUUAAUACAAACAGCAACAGGUGGACCACGGGCCUUAAUACAAAUAGAAAUACUGCUCCUAUUGUCAAUUCGAAUCUAAGAAAAACAGUUGAACUACGACUUAUCAGUAACAAUCGGGAAAUAUUAGACGGUGCACAAUGUUCUACUAUACAGAACCGCCUUAACGCUGCCUUGCCUGAAUUAGUUCGUGCUUUCUCAAGAACAUGUAAAGACACUGCUUGUUUAAAUGCCUUACCAACUUUCCGUGUUCAAUGUUCCCAGACUAACAGGGGUACCACCAAUAUCUUCACUGGCUAAACGAAAAGGCAGAUGCUCUAGCGAUGUACAUAGAAGGGAAAGCUUGUAUAAUGGUCAACUCUACUUAGAUUAUUUAUAUACUGUAACUCAGUACACUCUCUGUAUAACUUGAUAAAUAAAAAAUAUUCUGGGUUUU